GAUGAACGCUGGCGGCGUGCCUAAUACAUGCAAGUCGAGCGAACAGACGAGGAGCUUGCUCCUCUGACGUUAGCGGCGGACGGGUGAGUAACACGUGGAUAACCUACCUAUAAGACUGGGAUAACUUCGGGAAACCGGAGCUAAUACCGGAUAAUAUAUUGAACCGCAUGGUUCAAUAGUGAAAGACGGUUUUGCUGUCACCUAUAGAUGGAUCCGCGCCGCAUUAGCUAGUUGGUAAGGUAACGGCUUACCAAGGCAACGAUGCGUAGCCGACCUGAGAGGGUGAUCGGCCACACUGGAACUGAGACACGGUCCAGACUCCUACGGGAGGCAGCAGUAGGGAAUCUUCCGCAAAGGGCGAAAGCCUGACGGAGCAACGCCGCGUGAGUGAUGAAGGUCUUCGGAUCGUAAAACUCUGUUAUUAGGGAAGAACAAAUGUGUAAGUAACUAUGCACGUCUUGACGGUACCUAAUCAGAAAGCCACGGCUAACUACGUG
rnacentral:rRNA from 1 species